UACGUAGGGGGCAAGCGUUGUCCGGAUUUAUUGGGCGUAAAGUGCGUGUAGGUGGCCAAGUAGGUCCGCUGUGAAAACUUGAGGCUCAACCUCAAGCUGUCGGUGGAAACCCCUUGGCUAGAGUCCGGAAGAGGAGAGUGGAAUUCCAGGUGUAGCGGUGAAAUGCGUAGAUAUCUGGAAGAACACCGGUGGCGCAAGCGGAUUGCUGGGCCAUAACUGACACUGAGGAACGAAAAGCUAGGGGAGCGAAUGGG
rnacentral:rRNA from 1 species